rnacentral:rRNA from 1 species
UACGUAGGGGGCUAGCGUUGUCCGGAUUUAUUGGGCGUAAAGAGCGUGUAGGCGGCCGUACAGGUCAGCUGUGAAAACUCGAGGCUCAACCUCGAGACGUCGGUUGAAACCGUUCGGCUAGAGUCCGGAAGAGGAGAGUGGAAUUCCCGGUGUAGCGGUGAAAUGCGCAGAUAUCGGGAAGAACACCCGUGGCGAAGGCGGCUCUCUGGGACGGUACUGACGCUGAGACGCGAAAGCGUGGGGAGCGAACAGG